UGGGGAAUAUUGCACAAUGGGCGAAAGCCUGAUGCAGCAACGCCGCGUGAGUGAUGAAGGUCUUCGGAUUGUAAAGCUCUGUCUUUUGGGACGAUAAUGACGGUACCAAAGGAGGAAGCCACGGCUAACUACGUGCCAGCAGCCGCGGUAAUACGUAGGUGGCGAGCGUUGUCCGGAUUUACUGGGCGUAAAGGGUGCGUAGGCGGAUGUUUAAGUGAGAUGUGAAAUACCCGGGCUUAACUUGGGUGCUGCAUUUCAAACUGGAUAUCUAGAGUGCAGGAGAGGAGAAUGGAAUUCCUAGUGUAGCGGUGAAAUGCGUAGAGAUUAGGAAGAACACCAGUGGCGAAGGCGAUUCUCUGGACUGUAACUGACGCUGAGGCACGAAAGCGUGGGUAGCAAACAGGAUUAGAUACCCUGGUAGUCCACGCCGUAAACGAUGAGUACUAGGUGUAGGAGGUAUCGACCCCUUCUNUGCCGCAGUAAACACAUUAAGUACUCCGCCUGGGAAGUACGAUCGCAAGAUUAAAC
rnacentral:rRNA from 1 species